UGCAGCCUAUGCUGUCAUGGUAGGGUCAAGGGGAAAAGCCAUUUGACCUCAGACUGGUGGCUGAUUCUUCCAGGCCUCACAUGUCAGGACAGCUGUGUCACCUCGCCCCGUCAUUCCCUCCCAUCAGUACCCAUCUGUAAAAGGCAUACAUGUUAAAUCCUCCACCGUGUACCUGAUCCCCUUCGCCCAAUCCCUUCCAGCUACACUGGGAUGGCCUGGCCGUGGGCAGCAAAACAAUUUUGAGGGGAGGAGAGGGAAGGUCUUAAAAUACUUCCAGUCCUCUGUGUGCCAUGGAGAGGAAAAGAAACCUCCGCCUUCUCCCCUCAGCGUCAGCUUCUCCCACCCACCAACCACUUAUCAACAUAACCAGUUUGAAGCAGCAACCGUGCUGCUGGCACCUUGCCGAAGCACAUGCAAAGGUUUUAUAUUUCUUUGCACCUAGAAAGAGCUUUCAACCCCAGGGUCGCAACAUGUUAUACAGCCCCAUUUUACAGUUGGGGAAACUGAGGCAGAAUCUGAGUGCAUUGACUGGCUUUUUAUUUCACAUUUGUACAGCACCUAGCGCAAUAGGGUCCUAAUCCCUGCUUGGAGCCCUCAAGCAUUACAGUACUACAAAUAAAUAAUAAUUAAUGGCUUGUCCAUGUCAAACAAAAAGUCUGGGGCAGGGCCAGGCCUAGAACUCAGAUCUCCUGAGGCCAGGGUGGGAUUAAGGUAUAAAAUAACUAAGCUACAGUUAAGGGCCUUGCAAUAUGAGGGGCCUCUAAAAAAGAAAAAACUGACUCCAUUUCAAAUUUUAUCAAAAUCAGUUGAUAAGGAGAUAUGGGAAAAAGAAGAUUCGCUCUAAAUACAGACAUUUUUGUUCAAAUAUGACAAAAAUAUACACAUCAUUAUUGACAGUUGAGAGGCCAGGUCUGAGAAAAAAAACAAACAAUAAAAGCACUUGUAAAAUUAGUAUUUCUAUGAGUAAGUCUGCUAUCAGUUUCCCGAGGCAGCACUUUGUUGGCCAGUUGCUACUGGUAAAAUUCUGACUGUGCCCUCAUAAUUUAUGAAAAUAAAUAAAUAAUCUCACCGCUGAUAAAAUCGGGGAAAAAAUGUGAGGUUGGAGAUGGCGGUGCCGUGAAGCCAUCCUGCCAAGCUCAUACUCAUGUUAGUGUGUUCUUUCUUCUUUUGAUCUGUACAUCCACACAACUGUGUAUUUUAGUGUGCAUGCUUCAUGCGCUAUCCGUGCGUCACAUGAUUGAGUUUGCAGGUGAUCGUCUUAUGGACUUGGGUCGAGUGGAUCUUGAGAAGGAUACAUUUGUGUUGGCUUCCCUCCGUCAGUUUUGGGAACCUUCACAGUAAAUAUCAGAGAAUGCUGCCCAAAGGAUACAUAGAGGAUUUUGAGAGAAGCGAAGGAAGAUAUACAUAUAUAUCAAAAUAUUCUGAGUACUUGCUUGUUGUCCCUCUGUGUGUCCGAGGUGUUUACUCGAGAUUGAUUGGUGGUCCUUGGGGAGACAGAGGAUAGAGAAGUGAACGCGAAGAGAGAUGUCUACCUAGAAAAAAGACUGGGAUUUUCUGCUUGGCGGGUUUGGAGCAUGCAAGAGAGUAUUUUAUUAUAGGUAGUAUGCUAUGUAAAAAUUCUUAUAUAGACUUAUAAAACACACAUCAUAUGUAUAAUACAUUGUAUUUUUAUAGUAUGGCAAAAGAAAAAUCCCAACAAUUCAUUGGUUCAUAGCAAAAAUUAAAUCAGAAUGAACGUUUGUAAAUAUAUUUUAUAUAUAGUCUGGAUGAAUGUAUUUCCCUAAAAAAAUUAAUCAAAUAUUUUUUAAUUUAUUCAUAUGAAAAGAAGGAUAAUUUCCUUAUUCAUGGUGUAAACAAAAUUAUAUAUCCUCUCUUGUUUUCCUGUGAGAACAUAGACAAAAUAGCACUAACUUUCACAGAAAUAUCCUGGU